rnacentral:tRNA from 1 species
GACCGGCGUCGUCGGCUGGGGCGACGUCGGGACGGUCUGGCACAUCGUCUGGGACGCGACGUUCACCUUCGUCGCGCUGAUCG